rnacentral:rRNA from 1 species
UAAUACGGAGGAUGCGAGCGUUAUCCGGAUUUAUUGGGUUUAAAGGGUGCGUAGGCGGAAAAAUAAGUCAGUGGUGAAAACCUUCAGCUUAACUGGAGACUUGCCAUUGAUACUGUUAUUCUUGAGUAUAGUUAAGGUAGGCGGAAUGUGUAAUGUAGCGGUGAAAUGCUUAGAUAUUACACAGAACACCAAUUGCGAAGGCAGCUUACUGAGCUAUAACUGACGCUGAUGCACGAAAGCGUGGGGAGCGAACAGG